CACGAGGGUUAGUUACAUCAUUUUCCAAACAUUAGGGCUUGCCUUCAUCUGUAUUAUCAUCCUUCUAACUCUCUGCAGCCAGAUUGUCGCGCGCACGGGGUUAGUUACAUUCUUCUCCGACCAUUAGGGAUUGCCUUCAUCUGCACUAUCAUCCAUCGACUCUCCGCAGCCAGAUUGUCGCACGCACGAGGUAGGAUGCUGGUAGAUGGUCUUCAUGAAGGAAGAAGUGAACUAUUGGGUUACCAUGAUAAUGAUAAGUUAUAACUGGUUCUGCUAAGAAGCGACAACAAACUGAGAAAUCUUUGGUCACUAAUCGAAACAGCAACAAGUCAAACUCCAAAAUGGGAAUAGUAAUAGAGUAACAUGGACAGAUAUCGGCAUUGAAAGUCCUUUUUUUCUUCUAAAUGUUAAUGUUUGUACAUAACAGAGUUGUCGCAAAAGUAACCUCUAACAAUACUAAUGGUGUGUGUGUAUACCAAGUGUUUUGAACACAUUACUUGAACGUUGUUCAUUAAACAACUCAUCAAUGAAGCCAUAUAAAAUUGGUAACAACAA